rnacentral:rRNA from 1 species
CAAUAGCGUAUAUUAAAGUUGUUGCAGUUAAAAAGCUCGUAGUUGAAGAUACGAACGCUUACACUAGAACAAAGUUUCCGGUGUCUGCGUUCACUUUUCGCAAAGACAGCCUGGCCCAUUAGUUUGGGUCUUGUUUGAGUUGCGUCAUUUACUGUGAACAAAUUAGGGUGUUUAAAGCAGGCCUACGUUUGAAUACACUAGCAUGGAAUAAUAAGAUAUGAUCUUGGUCGUAUUUUGUUGGUGACUACCAAGAUAAUGAUUGAUAGAAACUGUUGUGGGUAUUCGUAUGAGCAUGUCAGAGGUGAAAUUCUUGGAUUUUGAUCAGACGAACUACUGCGAAAGUAUUUACCAAGGAUGUUUUCAUUGA